UGAUGAUGAUAAUGAUGAUGAUGAUGAUGAUGACGAUGGUGGUAUUGCAUCGUACCGGUAUCACCGUUGUUCGCACAUUGUCAUCACCUGGCAAA
rnacentral:pre_miRNA from 1 species